rnacentral:rRNA from 1 species
UACGGAGGGAGCUAGCGUUAUUCGGAAUUACUGGGCGUAAAGCGCACGUAGGCGGCUUUGUAAGUUAGAGGUGAAAUCCUGGAGCUCAACUCCAGAACUGCCUUUGAUACUGGCGACCUUGAGUCCGGGAGAGGUGAGUGGAACUGCGAGUGUAGAGGUGAAAUUCGUAGAUAUUCGCAAGAACACCAGUGGCGAAGGCGGCUCACUGGCCCGGUACUGACGCUGAGGUGCGAAAGCGUGGGGAGCAAACAGG